UCAAUACUUCUAGUGUGUGUGACCCCAUAGGUUCUAUUCUGACUGGUAGUGAGAUAUAUUGUGAUCUCUAUCACUAUAUCAUUGAAAACUCCUUUCAACGGGUUGGAACGGUUCCAACUCAACUCAUUAGGGUUUAUCGAUCAUCAAGAUAAUCCCUAUGAGUCCCACCAUCCACCAGUGACACCUAGCAGCAUGUAGUGGCUACCCAGCAGAAUGGAAUGAUGAACCUCUAGGUGCAGUUAACGUGUGAUACAGUCCUACUAUCGUGGAUCCCUACAGGACGGAGGUCAUGGACAACUCGUCAAACCCCAUCG
rnacentral:lncRNA from 1 species